rnacentral:rRNA from 1 species
CCUACGAGGUGCAGCAGUGGGGAAUAUUGCACAAUGGGGGAAACCCUGAUGCAGCGACGCCGCGUGAGUGAGGAAGUAUUUCGGUAUGUAAAGCUCUAUCAGCAGGGAAGAAAAUGACGGUACCUGACUAAGACGCCCCGGCUAACUACGUGCCAGCAGCCGCGGUCAUACGUAGGGGGCAAGCGUUAUCCGGAUUUACUGGGUGUAACGGGAGCGUAGACGGUUAAUCAAGUCAGAAGUGAAAACCCAGGGCUCAACCUUGGGACUGCUUUUGAAACUGAGUAGCUAGAGUGCAGGAGAGGUAAGCGGAAUUCCUAGUGUAGCGGUGAAAUGCGUAGAUAUUAGGAGGAACACCAGUGGCGAAGGCGGCUUACUGGACUGUAACUGACGUUGAGGCUCGAAAGCGUGGGGAGCAAACAGGAUUAGAUACCCGAGUAGUC